rnacentral:rRNA from 1 species
UGGCGGACGGGUGAGUAAUGUCUGGGAAACUGCCCGAUGGAGGGGGAUAACUACUGGAAACGGUAGCUAAUACCGCAUAACGUCGCAGGACCAAAGAGGGGGACCUUCGGGCCUCUUGCCAUCGGAUGUGCCCAGAUGGGAUUAGCUAGUAGGUGGGGUAAAGGCUCACCUAGGCGACGAUCCCUAGCUGGUCUGAGAGGAUGACCAGCCACACUGGAACUGAGACACGGUCCAG